UGGGGAAUCUUGCACAAUGGGCGGAAGCCUGAUGCAGCGACGCCGCGUGGGGGAUGACGGCCUUCGGGUUGUAAACUCCUUUCGCCAGGGACGAAGCCGUGAGGUGACGGUACCUGGAUAAGAAGCACCGGCUAACUACGUGCCAGCAGCCGCGGUCAUACGUAGGGUGCGAGCGUUGUCCGGAAUUACUGGGCGUAAAGAGCUCGUAGGUGGUUUGUCGCGUCGUCUGUGAAAUUCCGGGGCUUAACUCCGGGCGUGCAGGCGAUACGGGCAUAACUUGAGUGCUGUAGGGGAGACUGGAAUUCCUGGUGUAGCGGUGAAAUGCGCAGAUAUCAGGAGGAACACCGAUGGCGAAGGCAGGUCUCUGGGCAGUAACUGACGCUGAGGAGCGAAAGCAUGGGUAGCGAACAGG
rnacentral:rRNA from 1 species